CAGUAGGUAGUUUAUAAAAAUAUUAAUUUUGGGGAUUAAUGAUAAGGUGAACUCCUUCCUUCUGA
rnacentral:tRNA from 1 species